rnacentral:rRNA from 1 species
CCUACGGGAGGCAGCAGUGGGGGAUAUUGCACAAUGGGGGGAACCCUGAUGCAGCGACGCCGCGUGUGGGAAGACGGUCCUCUGGAUUGUAAACCACUGUCCCCAGGGACGAAAAUGACGGUACCUGGGGAGGAAGCUCCGGCUAACUACGUGCCAGCAGCCGCGGUAAUACGUAGGGAGUGAGCGUUGUCCGGAAUUACUGGGUGUAAAGGGAGCGUAGGCGGGGAUGCAAGUUGGGUGUCAAAACUACCGGCUCAACUGGUAGUCGCACUCAAAACUGCAGCUCUUGAGUGAAGUAGAGGCAGGCGGAAUUCCUAGUGUAGCGGUGAAAUGCGUAGAUAUCAGGAGGAACACCAGUGGCGAAGGCGGCCUGCUGGGCUUUUACUGACGCUGAGGCUCGAGAGCGUGGGGAGCAAACAGGAUUAGAUACCCUUGUAGUC